rnacentral:rRNA from 1 species
UCGGAGUGCUUGCACUCUGUGAAACAAGAUACAGGCUAGCGGCGGACGGGUGAGUAACACGUGGGUAACCUGCCCAAGAGAUCGGGAUAACACCUGGAAACAGAUGCUAAUACCGGAUAACAACAGAUGAUGCCUAUCAACUGUUUAAAAGAUGGUUCUGCUAUCACUCUUGGAUGGACCUGCGGUGCAUUAGCUAGUUGGUAGGGUAACGGCCUACCAAGGCGAUGAUGCAUAGCCGAGUUGAGAGACUGAUCGGCCACAUUGGGACUGAGACACGGCCCAAACUCCUACGGGAGGCAGCAGUAGGGAAUCUUCCACAAUGGACGCAAGUCUGAUGGAGCAACGCCGCGUGAGUGAAGAAGGGUUUCGGCUCGUAAAGCUCUGUUGUUGGUGAAGAAGGACAGGGGUAGUAACUGACCUUUGUUUGACGGUAAUCAAUUAGAAAGUCACGGCUAACUACGUGCCAGCAGCCGCGGUAAUACGUAGGUGGCAAGCGUUGUCCGGAUUUAUUGGGCGUAAAGCGAGUGCAGGCGGCUCGAUAAGUCUGAUGUGAAAGCCUUCGGCUCAACCGGAGAAUUGCAUCAGAAACUGUCGAGCUUGAGUACAGAAGAGGAGAGUGGAACUCCAUGUGUAGCGGUGAAAUGCGUAGAUAUAUGGAAGAACACCGGUGGCGAAGGCGGCUCUCUGGUCUGUUACUGACGCUGAGGCUCGAAAGCAUGGGUAG